GGCGAACGGGUGAGUAACACGUGGGUAAUCUGCCCUGCACUCUGGGAUAAGCCUGGGGAACUGGGUCUAAUACUGGAUAUGACCUUUCUCCUUAUGGGGUUUGGUGGAAAGUUUUUCGGUGUAGGAUGAGCCCGCGGCCUAUCAGCUUGUUGGUGGGGUGAUGGCCUACCAAGGCGACGACGGGUAGCCGGCCUGAGAGGGUGAUCGGCCACAUUGGGACUGAGAUACGGCCCAG
rnacentral:rRNA from 1 species